rnacentral:tRNA from 1 species
UCUAAUAUGGCAGAAUAGUGCAAUGAAUUUAAGCUUCAUAUAUAAAAUUAAAUAAAUUUUUAUUAGAA